GACGAACGCUGGCGGCGUGCUUAACACAUGCAAGUCGAGCGGAAAGGCCCUUCGGGGUACUCGAGCGGCGAACGGGUGAGUAACACGUGAGUAAUCUGCCCCUGGCUUUGGGAUAGCCACCGGAAACGGUGAUUAAUACCGGAUAUGACCACUUGACGCAUGUUGGGUGGUGGAAAGUUUUUCGGCCAGGGAUGUGCUCGCGGCCUAUCAGCUUGAUGGUGAGGUAAUGGCUCACCAUGGCUUCGACGGGUAGCCGGCCUGAGAGGGUGACCGGUCACACUGGGACUGAGACACGGCCCAGACUCCUACGGGAGGCAGCAGUGGGGAAUAUUGGACAAUGGGCGGAAGCCUGAUCCAGCAACGCCGCGUGAGGGAUGACGGCCUUCGGGUUGUAAACCUCUUUCAGUACCGACGAAGCGCAAGUGACGGUAGGUACAGAAGAAGCACCGGCCAACUACGUGCCAGCAGCCGCAGUAAAAC
rnacentral:rRNA from 1 species